AACUAAGUUUGUUCUUGGUAUAAACUUUCAUGUGCAUGCACACUUCUGUUUCAGUGUAUCUGAAGAAGUGUGCAUGCACACGAAAGCUUAUACCAAGAACAAAUUUAGUUGG